rnacentral:rRNA from 1 species
GAGCCAACGUUGAAAUACCACCCUUUCUGUAUUCGGUGUCUAACCCCCCUGAGGGGGGGACAUUGUUUGAUGGGUAGUUUGACUGGGGUGGUCGCCUCCAAAAAGGUAACGGAGGCUUUCAAAGGUAAGCUCAGUACGCUUGGUAACCGUACGGGGAGUGCAAUAGCAUAAGCUUGCUUGACUGUGAGGCAUACAGGCCGAUCAGGGUCGAAAGAC